GAUGAACGCUGGCGGCGUGCCUAAUACAUGCAAGUCGAGCGAACAGACGAGGAGCUUGCUCCUCUGACGUUAGCGGCGGACGGGUGAGUAACACGUGGAUAACCUACCUAUAAGACUGGGAUAACUUCGGGAAACCGGAGCUAAUACCGGAUAAUAUAUUGAACCGCAGGGUUCAAUAGGGAAAUACGGUUUUGCUGUCACUUAUAGAUGGAUCCGCGCCGGAUUAGCUAGUUGGUAAGGUAACGGCUUACCAAGGCAACGAUGCGUAGCCGACCUGAGAGGGUGAUCGGCCACACUGGAACUGAGACACGGUCCAGACUCCUACGGGAGGCAGCAGUGGGGAAUCUUCCGCAAUGGGCGAAAGCCUGACGGAGCAACGCCGCGUGAGUGAUGAAGGUCUUCGGAUCGUAAAACUCUGUUAUUAGGGAAGAACAAAUGUGUAAGUAACUAUGCACGUCUUGACGGUACCUAAUCAGAAAGCCCCGGCUAACUACGUG
rnacentral:rRNA from 1 species